UUUCCGUAGGUGAACCUGCGGAAGGAUCAUUACCGAAUUGUCAACAAGAGUUGUUGCUGGUCCCCAUACGGGGGCAUGUGCACACUUUGUUUACACAUCCACUCACACCUGUGCACCCUCCGUAGUUCUAUGGCCUGGGUGGGCUCUGUCCUCCUGGCGUGGUUCUACGUCUUUACACACACACUACAACAAAGUCUUAUGGAAUGUAUGUCGCGUUUAACGCAAUGAAAUACAACUUUCAGCAACGGAUCUCUUGGCUCUC
rnacentral:misc_RNA from 1 species